GCAUAGCUGAGGAGUUCUGCAAUAGGACGAAACGGCCGUCCAUUAC
rfam:Schistosoma curassoni strain Dakar, Senegal genome assembly, scaffold: SCTD_scaffold0000268